rnacentral:rRNA from 1 species
GAUGAACGCUGGCGGCGUGCUUAACACAUGCAAGUCGAGCGAGUGAGUUCUUCGGAACGAUCUAGCGGCGGACGGGUGAGUAACACGUGGGCAACCUGCCUCAUAGAGGGGAAUUGCCUCCCGAAAGGGAGAUUAAUACCGCAUAAAAUUAUCGAGUGGCAUCACAUGAUAAUCAAAGGAGUAAUCCGCUAUGAGAUGGGCCCGUGGCGCAUUAGCUAGUUGGUGAGGUAACGGCUCACCAAGGCGACGAUCCGUAGCCGACCUGAGAGGGUGAUCGGCCACAUUGGGACUGAGACACGGCCCAGACUCCUACGGGAGGCAGCAGUGGGGAAUAUUGCACAAUGGGGGAAACCCUGAUGCAGCAACGCCGCGUGAGUGAUGAAGGUCUUCGGAUUGUAAAGCUCUGUCUUUGGGGACGAUAAUGACGGUACCCAAGGAGGAAGCCACGGCUAACUACGUGCCAGCCGCCGCCGUAA